UACGUAGGGUGCUAGCGUUGUUCGGAAUCAUUGGGCGUAAAGCGCGUGUAGGUGGCUUGUUAAGUCGGGUGUGAAAUCCCUGGGCUCAACCCAGGAAGUGCAUUCGAAACUAGCUCGCUAGAAGAUGGUAGAGGAAGGUGGAAUUCCAAAGUGUAGAGGUGAAAUUCGUAGAUAUUUGGAGGAAUACCGGCGGCGAAGGCGGCCUUCUGGACCAUUCUUGACACUGAGACGCGAAAGCGUGGGUAGCAAACAGG
rnacentral:rRNA from 1 species